GAUGAAGAACGUAGCGAAAUGCGAUAAGUAAUGUGAAUUUCAGAAUUCAGUGAAUCAUCGAAUCUUUGAACGCACAUUGCGCCCGCCAGCAUUCUGGCGGGCAUGCCUGUUCGAGCGUCAUUUCAACCCUCGAGCCCCCCCGGGGGCCUCGGUGUUGGGGGACGGCACACCAGCCGCCCCCGAAAUGCAGUGGCGACCCCGCCGCAGCCUCCCCUGCGUAGUAGCACACACCUCGCACCGGAGCGCGGAGGCGGUCACGCCGUAAAACGCCCAACUUUCUUAGAGUUGACCUCGGAUCAGGUAGGAAUACCCGCUGAACUUAAGCAUAUCAAUAAGCGGAGGA
rnacentral:misc_RNA from 1 species